rnacentral:lncRNA from 11 species
GCUGAAUCGGCAGUAACCGGAGCUUUCCUUGGCGCCUGCCUGCCUGGAUGGUGCAAGGAAGACGGAGCUUUUGCUCUUUAUUUAACAGAAAGACCUUCUUGAAAACAGAAUAUGAAGAAUCUAAAAAAGAACAUAAGGAAGCCAAGUAUUCUUCAUUUCAUGUCUUUGGGAGCAUGACUGUUUGGUACUUCCUUCCUUUCCUCACUUUUCUACAACUGCCACCAAAGUUUCCAACUUGUACAACCAUGGCACCCAAGAUGACUGCUUAG